UUACGGCUCUGUCGCAAAGCGCACCCGGCUCUGCCCCCGCCCGGACUUCCGGGGUCCAAGGGCAUGCCCUUCCGGGACCGGAAGUGCCGGUCGAAGUCCCCCUGCAGGGUGUGUGUGUGAUCGCGCACCUGCCGGGCUAGGGAGUGCGACGCUGCGGGCGCACCUGCUGGGACAAAAAGACUCACUCUGUCGCGCAGUGUCGCGAUCUUGGCUCACUGCAACCUCCGCCUCCCAGGUUCAAGCAAUUCUCCUGCCUCACCCUCUGGAGUAGCUAGGACUACAGGCCCGUGCCACCACGCCCGGCUAAUUUUUGUAUUUUUAGUAGAGACGGGGUUUCACCAUGUUGGCCAGGCUGGCCUCGAACUCCUGACCUUAGGUGAUCUGCCCACCUCGGCCUCCCAAAGUUUUGGGAUUACAGGCGUGAGCCCCCACGCUGGCCAUAAUUAUGUGUCUCUGUUUAUUGUCUUAUCUUCCUCUGCCAUGUGUCCUCCAAUGGCUGUGUUCUCAGGGAGGAUUUUUCUGUGUAAUGGCAGAAAAGGUCCUAGCAACUCCAGGUCCACAAUGUGGUUCAUGAUACCUGCCACUCACCCUGCACCAGUAACCACAUUAGUCCCAGAGCCAAGCAAGAAAGCACGUGGGGUAUUUGGGUACCUGAAAUGGGCCGGUUUGGCCAAAUUAAAUGAUGUAGUUAUGAUCCAGGCCUCAAAGCCACAAUAACGGUUUUGUUUUUGCUUUUGAUGAGGUCCCACUCCGUCACCCAGGCUGGAGUGCAGUGGCACCGUCAUAGCUCACUGCAGCCUCGAACUCCAGGGCUCAAGUGAUCCUCCCACUUCACCCUCCAAGUAGCUGGGACUACAGACGUGCACCACCACACCCAGCUAAUUUUAUCUUUUGUAGAAAUGCGGUCUCACCAUGUUGCCCAUGGAUGGUCUCGAACUCCUGGCCUAAAGUGAUCUUCCCACCUCGGCUUCCCAAAGCAGUGAUUACAGGCAUGAACCACUGUGCCCAGCGAGGAUUUUGUUCUUUUAUCUUGAGAUAAAUGGUAGUCCUCUUAAGGGUUUUAAGUCAUGGAGUGCUGUGUUCAUGUAUACUUCUUUAAAGAUCAGUCUGGCCAGGUGCGGUGGCUCACACCUGUAAUCCUAGCACUUUGGGAGGCCAAGGCAGGUGGAUCACUUGAGGUCAGGAGUUUGAGACCAGCCUGGCCAACAUGACAAAACCCGUCUCUACUAAAAAUACAAAGAUUAGCCAGGCAUUGUGGCAGACACCUGUAAUCUCAGCUACUUGGGAGGCUGAGGCAGAAUCGUUUGAACCUGGGAGGCGGAGGUUGCAGUAAGCUGAGAUUGUGCCACCGCACUCCAGCCUGGGGGAUAGAGCAAGCUUCUUUCCCCAAAAAAUAAAUAAAUAAAUAAAUAAUCAGUCUGGUUACAGUGUGGGGAUAUAGGAUGGAGGGGACAGAGUUGAGGCAGGGAGAGACCAAUGGGGGUCAUGGCAGUCACCUAAACAAGAACUGGUGGCCUGGACUGAGUUGGUGGCAGUGGAGUUCGGUUGAAGUUGGCAGUGUGACCGCUAAGUUAAAUCCACAGAACUUGCUCAGGAAAAAGGUCAGGUCGAGAAUAACUCAUAGGUUUUCAGUUUGGGCAGUUGACACAAUGCUGCUGUGUCUUUUGGUAGGAUGGGGAAACCUGGGGUGGUGGAGUGAACAACGGCCACCCAGAGAGAGCAGGUCCUAAUUCCUAGAGCCUGGAAAUGUCACCUUCUAUGGAAGAGAUCUGUAGGAGUGAUCAGGGGAAGGAUUUGGAGAGAAGGUUAUCCUGGAUUAUCUGGGCAGGUCCUGCAUGGCAUCACAAGUAUCCCUAUAAGAGAGAGGCAGAGGAAGGCCUCUCUUAUAGGGAGAAGCGCAGUGGGUCACACCUGUAAUCCCAGCACUUUGGGAGACUGAGGCUGGUGGAUCCCUUGAGCCCAGGAGUUCACAACCAGCCUAGCCAACAUGGUGAAACCACGUCUCUACUAAAAACACAAAAAUUUGCUGAGUGCACGCCUGUAAUCCCAGCUACUCAGGGGGCUAAGUUAAGGGAAUUGCUUGAACCUGGGAAGUGGCGGUUGCAGUGAGCCGAGAUCACACCACUGCACUCCAGCCUGGGCAACAGAGUGAGACUCUGUCUCAAAAAACAAAAAAUAAGAGAGAAGCAGAGGAAGAUUAGACCGGCACAUACAGAAAAGGCCACGUGAAGAUGGAGGCAGAGAUUGGAAUGAUGCGGUCACAGGCCAGGAAACACCAGGGCAUGGCAGCCACCACCUGAAGCUGAAGAGGAAAGGGGCAGGUUUUCCCCGACAGUCUCCAGAGGGAGCGCGGCCUUGCCGUCAUCGUGAUCUUGGACAUCUGGCCUUCAGAACCAUGAGAGAUUAAAUUUGUUUGAAGCCACCAA